rnacentral:rRNA from 1 species
CCGUGCAAAGGUAGCAUAAUCAUUAGCUUAUUAAUUGUUAAAUGGUAUGAAUGGUUGGACAAAAUAUUUACUGUCUCUUAUUUAUUAUUUAAAAUUUAAUUUUUGAGUUAAAAAGCUUAAAUUUUAUUAAAGGACGAAAAAACCCUAUAAAUCUUUAUUUUUAUUAUUUUAUGAAUUUUANUUUUAUAUAUUUUAUUGAAUUUUUGGUUGGGGUGACCUUGAAAUAUAAUUAACUCUUUAUUUUUUUUUCAUUGAUUUAUGUUUAAAUGAUCUUUUAUUAUUGUUUAUAAAAUUAAAAUACCUUAGG